rnacentral:rRNA from 1 species
UACGUAGGGGGCAAGCGUUGUCCGGAUUUAUUGGGCGUAAAGAGCGUGUAGGCGGCCAGGCAGGUCCGCUGUGAAAACUCGAGGCUCAACCUCGAGCUGUCGGUGGAAACCGUGUGGCUAGAGUCCGGAAGAGGAGAGUGGAAUUCCCGGUGUAGCGGUGAAAUGCGCAGAUAUCGGGAAGAACACCCGUGGCGAAGGCGGCUCUCUGGGACGGUACUGACGCUGAGACGCGAAAGCGUGGGGAGCGAACAGG